UACAGAGGGGGCAAGCGUUGUUCGGAAUUACUGGGCGUAAAGGGCGCGUAGGCGGCCUUCUAAGUCGAACGUGAAAUCCCCGGGCUCAACCCGGGAACUGCGUCCGAGACUGGAAGGCUUGAAUCCGGGAGAGGGAUGUGGAAUUCCAGGUGUAGCGGUGAAAUGCGUAGAUAUCUGGAGGAACAUCGGUGGCGGAGGCGGCAUCCUGGACCGGUAUUGACGCUGAGGCGCGAAAGCCAGGGGAGCAAACGGG
rnacentral:rRNA from 1 species